AGUGGAAUGGCUGAGAUAUAAAUAGGCGAUAGGCUGUAAAUCUAUUUAGGGACAAUUAUUUUGUUCUUCCACUA
rnacentral:tRNA from 1 species